rnacentral:rRNA from 1 species
CUGGAAUGGUUCCUGACUAAAAUCUAUAUGGCCUCUGGAUUGGACUGCGGCCGAUCAGGCUGUUGGUGAGGUAAUGGCCCACCAAACCUGUAACCGGUACGGGCUCUGAGAGGAGGAGCCCGGAGAUGGGCACUGAGACAAGGGCCCAGGCCCUAUGGGGCGCAGCAGGCGCGAAACCUCUGCAAUAGGCGAAAGCCUGACAGGGUUACUCUGAGUGACUUUCGCUAAGAAAGUCUUUUGGCACCUCUAAAAAGGGUGCAGAAUAAGGGGUGGGCAAGUCUGGUGUCAGCCGCCGCGGUAAUACCAGCACCCCGAGUGGUCGGGACGAUUAUUGGGCCUAAAGCAUCCGUAGCCGGUUCUGCAAGUCCCCCGUUAAAUCCAGCUGCUCAACAGAUGGGCCGCGGAGGAUACUACAGAGCUAGGAGGCAGGAGAGGCAAGCGGUACUCAGUGGGUAGGGGUAAAAUCCUUUGAUCCAUUGAAGACCACCAGUGGCGAAGGCGGCUUGCCAGAACGCGCUCGACGGUGAGGGAUGAAAGCUGGGGGAGCAAACCGGAUUAGAUACCCGGGUAGUCCCAGCCGUAAACGAUGCAGACUCGGUGAUGGGUUAGCUUCGCGCCAACCCAGUGCCGCAGGGAAGCCGUUAAGUCUGCCGCCUGGGGAGUACGGUCGCAAGACUGAAACUUAAAGGAAUUGGCGGGGGAGCACCACAAGGGGUGAAGCCUGCGGUUCAAUUGGACUCAACGCCGGU